rnacentral:rRNA from 1 species
AUACGUAGGGGGCGAGCGUUGUCCGGAAUGAUUGGGCGUAAAGGGCGCGUAGGCGGCCCGGUAAGUCUGGAGUGAAAGUCCUGUUUUUAAGAUGGGAAUUGCUUUGGAUACUGAUGGGCUUGAGUGCAGGAGAGGUUAUCGGAAUUCCCGGUGUAGCGGUGAAAUGCGUAGAGAUCGGGAGGAACACCAGUGGCGAAGGCGGGUAACUGGACUGCAACUGACGCUGAGGCGCGAAAGUGUGGGGAGCAAACAGGAUUAGAUACCCUGGUAGUCCACACUGUAAACGAUGAAUGCUAGGUGUAAGAGGUAUCGACCCCUUUUGUGCCGCAGUCAACACAAUAAGCGUUCCGCCUGGGGAGUACGGCCGCAAGGUUGAAACUUAAAGGAAUUGACGGGG